rnacentral:lncRNA from 1 species
AGUUGCGCUUGCGGUGGCCAUGCUGGUCUUUGUGACCUGUAUCUUGCGUGGACCUCCAAUCUUCUGUGACUAAGAAUGCCUAACCUCCUGGGAAUGCAGCUCAGUAGGUCUCAGCCUCGUUUUACCCAGCACCUGUUCAAGUUGGAGUCACUCUGGUUCAAACGCCUCUGACAACAGGACUAUUGGAGUACUGAUAGGAGUUUAUUUGCCUUAAUCACCUGGCCACCCUAUCCCUUUCUUAUUUCCUCCCUACUCCUCCGUCCUGGGAGACUGAAUUCAAAUAGACAAUGGCCAGAGAAUAUAUACAAAUAGAACACUAACCUACAACCUUCAACAACCAGUCCAGGAAGGCAACCUACUAUGUCCAGUAACCAGUCCAAGAAAUCAGAUUACUAUAUUUAGCAACCAGUCCAGGAAGCCAAGCAAUAACCCUUGUAGCAAUCUACCCCAAAUGGCCAGGACGUGAUUAAUAACUUACAGCUUCUGUAAGUUUUGUCAGGGCUUCCAACUCAAGGCCAGCUAGAGAGAGCCAAAUAUCUACCCACCCCUAAAUAAUUACAUAGGAUGCCCUGCUUUUAGUUAGCCCACCUGCAGCUUCUCCAUGCCAACAGCCUUGAAUUGGCAUACCUGAAGCUUUCCCUUUUUUCCACUCUAAAGCUUUCUCACUCCUCUGCCUGCCGUUGAGUCUCUGACAAAUGCAAGUGAUGAUGGCUGACUCCCUUGCUAUUG